AAAAAACCUUGGAUAGGAUUUACUUGAAACAAUUUUCAUUAACAAAUUGCUUGAAUAAUUCACAAAUAAUUACAAAUACAUUUUGAAAAUACAUGGUAUAGUAUAUAGCAAAUAGUAUUUUCUUGCAAUAAAUACCCUAUUUAUCUUAUUUACAUCAAAAGAAUAUUUUUUUAAGUGAGAUUGAUAACCAGCAUUUUGAGAAGGUUAUGCACACUUUUUUUCACUGAUCAUUUGUUAAGAAAAAAGCAAUUUCAAACCUUGUUUUGUAUCCUAUUCAUUGAAAGUGCCUAGCUAUUACUUUUUUUGCAUGUUUUUUUUUAGCAGUGAAAAUGUUUAAAACCAGUUUCUUUUUUUUUUUCUUUUUAGAAACCCACAUGACUAGAUGAAAGGACCAAGCAUCAAUGGAGUUUCCAUUCAAAUUUUUUGGGAAAUAUGUGUGAAGGGGCUCGAGCCAAGUGUUCCAUCUCCCAGCUUCCCUCACGGCCAGAGCAGAGCGAGGGGGAGGACAGCACUUGACAGCAGUGACUGCGAGAGUGACGUGGCCCCGCCGCUGCGCAUCUGUAAUCACCGGGACCCAAAGCUCUGUCUGUGCUGUCUGGGGAAGUGACACCCGCUAGAACAUCGCCCGAAGUUCACCAUGCCUGUACGCCUGUGCGUCUGUGGCUGCAAGAACUGAACAACCUGCGCUUUACUGUGAUGUAUUUGAUCGAUUCUGGGGCGGAAACAACCUGGAAUGUGACUAAGGAAUUGAUUACUGCAGUGACACCACUUUAAAAUGCAUCUUUGGUCAUUAGAGAUGAAUAUACAAUUAAGCAAAGAUAAAGAAUGCGACCAAACAUUAAAAAAUCAGUCAAUGAAAACCCACAUUUGGUCAAACACGUUGUUUUUUAAGUAAGGAGUACAGAUUUAUAAAUUAUAACGUUGUAUAAUUUGAACUGAAUACGUGUAAGAAUUAUUUAAUAAAUUCUAAUAAUUUUAAUUUGGUGUAAUUUUGUCAGUUGACGUUCG
rnacentral:lncRNA from 12 species